GCAGUGAAUCGACUUGCCCGACGUCGCCCGGCAGACAAGUGGCGGCGCCGGGAUUAGAACCCGGGUCCUUCCGACCGCCGGUCCCGGACUCCAGCCACUCGGUAAAGCCGCCUCUCUGAGUCGCCGUGGUGAAGAAACGCGGCCCAGCCGCGGCUGCCCGGGGACGGGGUAGAAGCGUCGGGACCGGAGACGAGGUAAAACCCUUCCGACCAUGAGCUCCUCAGGGAACGUGUCCGGCUAUUGUUGCAUUAUACUCUCCCGAGCGGUUAGUACAGUGCUCUGGCCACAGUAAGUAAUCGAUAAAUACGAAUGAAGACCUGUGCUUGAUCAUCACGCUGCCUCUCCAAGGAUAUUUCGAAAUCUGGCUUUGCCAGUGGCGCCGUGGGACCCGAAUCGAGUCAAGGACCGUCAGUGAACCCUCCCCGCGAGAGGAGGAGGGCGGGAUACCAUCUGGACACCUUUGUAGCAAGCAGGCUGUUAGGAGGACCUGCCUAGAAUGGUGGUGAUGAUGAUAAUUAUUCUCAUGGCAUUUGUUAAGCGCUUACUACGUUAGCAAAGCGCCGUUCGAAGCGCCGAGGUGGAUACAAGCAGUGGAAACUCGUCUUCUCGUGUCACGCUACCGAGUCGUCUCCGACCCACGGCGACUCCAUGGCCACAUCUCUCCUAGAACGCCCCGCUGUCCAUCUGCGAUCGUUCCGGUGGUGGAUCCGUUGAGCUUUCUCGGUCGAAAUACGGAAGUGGUUUACCACCGUCUCCUUCCGCGCGGUCAACUCGAAUCUCCGCCCUCGACUCUCUCCCGCGCCG